GAUGAAGAACGUAGCGAAAUGCGAUAAGUAAUGUGAAUUGCAGAAUUCAGUGAAUCAUCGAAUCUUUGAACGCAUCUUGCGCUCCUUGGUAUUCCUUGGAGCAUGCCUGUUUGAGUAUCAUGAGCAAAUCUCAAAGUCAAUUCCUUUUGUUAAUUCAAUUGGUUUUGCUUUGGACUUGGAGGUCUUGCAGAUUUCACAGUCUGCUCCUCUUAAAUGCAUUAGCUGGAUCUCAGUAAUUAUGCUUGGUUCCACUCGGCGUGAUAAGUAUCACUCGCUGAGGAAACUGUUAAAAAGGUGGCCAGGAAAAUACUGAUUGAACCGCUUCUAACGGUCUAUUAAGUUAGACAAUUGACCCCUUAAGUUUGAUCUCAAAUCAGGUAGGACUACCCGCUGAACUUAAGCAUAUCAAUAAGCGGAGGA
rnacentral:misc_RNA from 1 species